UUUCAUCAUGAAAUUUUUGCCUCUGCCUAUGUCCUGAAUGAUUACUGCAUAGGUUGUCUUCUGGGGUUUUUAUAGUUCUGGGUUUUACAUUAAGUCUUUAUCUAUCUUGAGUUAAUUUUUAUGUAUAAGGAAGGGGUCCAGUUUCAAUCUUCUGCAUAUGGCUCGUCAGUUAUCCCAGCACCAUUUAUUGAGAAAUCCUUUCCCCAUUGCUUGUCUUUGCCAGGUUUGUCAAAGAUCAGACAGUUAUAGGUGUGAAGUCUUAUUUCUGAAAACAAUUAUUCUGUUC